ensembl:miRNA MIR4776-2 microRNA 4776-2
CUAUAUGCAGUGGACCAGGAUGGCAAGGGCUCUACUGUCCUUUCAGGAGAGCCCUUGCCAUCCUGGUCCACUGCAUAUAG